rnacentral:rRNA from 1 species
UACGUAGGGGGCAAGCGUUGUCCGGAAUUAUUGGGCGUAAAGAGCUCGUAGGCGGUUUGUCGCGUCUGCUGUGAAAACCCGAGGCUCAACCUCGGGUCUGCAGUCGAUACGAGCAAACUAGAGUGUUGCAGGGGAGACUGGAAUUCCUGGUGUAGCGGUGAAAUGCGCAGAUAUCAGGAGGAACACCGGUGGCGAAGGCGGGUCUCUGGGCCGAUACUGACGCUGAGGAGCGAAAGCGUGGGGGAGCGAACAGG